GAUGAACGCUGGCGGCGUGCUUAACACAUGCAAGUCGAACGGAAAGGCCCAAGCUUGCUUGGGUGCUCGAGUGGCGAACGGGUGAGUAACACGUGGGUGAUCUGCCCUGCACUUUGGGAUAAGCCUGGGAAACUGGGUCUAAUACCGGAUAGGACCAUCGUUUAGUGUCGGUGGUGGAAAGUUUUUCGGUGUGGGAUGAGCUCGCGGCCUAUCAGCUUGUUGGUGGGGUAAUGGCCUACCAAGGCGUCGACGGGUAGCCGGCCUGAGAGGGUGUACGGCCACAUUGGGACUGAGAUACGGCCCAGACUCCUACGGGGGGCAGCAGUGGGGAAUAUUGCACAAUGGGCGCAAGCCUGAUGCAGCGACGCCGCGUGGGGGAUGACGGCCUUCGGGUUGUAAACUCCUUUCGCCAAGGACGAAGCGUUUUGUGACGGUACUUGGAGAAGAAGCACCGGCUAACUACGUG
rnacentral:rRNA from 1 species